rnacentral:tRNA from 1 species
CAGGGGUGUAUUUUAAUUUUAGAAUUCAAACUUUGGGGGUUUGGGGUCUCGUGCGAGCUCUCUGA